GGUACGCCCGGGCAAGCAGCGGGGGUAAUAGGGGGGGGGCAAGCGUUAAUCGGAAUUACUGGGCGGAAAGCGUGCGCUGGCGGCUUAUUAAGUCAGAUGUGAAAUCCCUAGGCUCAACCUAGGAACUGCAUUUGAAACUAAUAAACUAGAGUAUCGUAGAGGGAGGUAGAAUUCCAGGUGUAGCGGUGAAAUGCGUAGAUAUCUGGAGGAAUACCAGUGGCGAAGGCGACCUCCUGGACGAAAACUGACGCUCAAGCACGAAAGCAUGGGGAGCAAACAGGAUUAGAUACCCCAGUAGUC
rnacentral:rRNA from 1 species